rnacentral:rRNA from 1 species
UACGGAGGAUCCAAGCGUUAUCCGGAAUCAUUGGGUUUAAAGGGUCCGUAGGCGGUUUAAUAAGUCAGUGGUGAAAGCCCAUCGCUCAACGGUGGAACGGCCAUUGAUACUGUUAAACUUGAAUUAUUAGGAAGUAACUAGAAUAUGUAGUGUAGCGGUGAAAUGGCUUAGAGAUUACAUGGAAUACCAAUUGCGAAGGCAGGUUACUACUAAUGGAUUGACGCUGAUGGACGAAAGCGUGGGUAGCGAACAGG